ACGUAGGUGGCAAGCGUUGUCCGGAUUUACUGGGCGUAAAGCGCGCGCAGGUGGCACGUCAAGUCUGGUGUGAAAGCCUCCGGCUCAACCGGAGGAGGCCACUGGAGACUGGCGUGCUCGAGGUGGGUAGGGGUCGGUGGAAUUCCCGGUGUAGUGGUGAAAUGCGUAGAUAUCGGGAGGAACACCUGUGGCGAAAGCGGCGCACUGGACCACAACUGACGCUGAGGCGCGAAAGCUAGGGGAGCAAACAGGA
rnacentral:rRNA from 1 species